GACGAACGCUGGCGGCGUGCUUAACACAUGCAAGUCGAACGGAAAGGCCCUGCUUUUGUGGGGUGCUCGAGUGGCGAACGGGUGAGUAACACGUGAGUAACCUGCCCUUGACUUUGGGAUAACUUCAGGAAACUGGGGCUAAUACCGGAUAGGAGCUCCUGCUGCAUGGUGGGGGUUGGAAAGGUUCGGCGGUGUGGGAUGGACUCGCGGCUUAUCAGCUUGUUGGUGGGGUAGUGGCUUACCAAGGCUUUGACGGGUAGCCGGCCUGAGAUGGUGACCGGCCACAUUGGGACUGAGAUACGGCCCAGACUCCUACGGGAGGCAGAAGUUGGGAAUAUUGCACAAUGGGCGGAAGCCUGAUGCAGCAACGCCGCGUGCGUGAUGACGGCCUUCGGGUUGUAAACCGCUUUCGCCUGUGACGAAGCGUGAGUGACGGUAAUGGGUAAAGAAGCACCGGCUAACUACGUG
rnacentral:rRNA from 1 species